GUGGCGACCGGCGCACGGGUGAGUAACGCGUAUGCAACCUACCCUGUACAGGGGGAUAGCCCGGAGAAAUUCGGAUUAAUACCCCAUAAAGAUAUUUGGAGGCAUCUUCAGAUAUUUAAAGUUUCGGCGGUACGGGAUGGGCAUGCGUGACAUUAGCUAGUUGGUAAGGUAACGGCUUACCAAGGCUACGAUGUCUAGGGGUCCUGAGAGGGUGAUCCCCCACACUGGUACUGAGACACGGACCAGACUCC
rnacentral:rRNA from 1 species